rnacentral:rRNA from 1 species
UCCAGACUCCUACGGGAGGCAGCAGUGGGGGAUAUUGCACAAUGGGGGAAACCCUGAUGCAGCGACGCCGCGUGGGUGAAGAAGCGCCUCGGCGCGUAAAGCCCUGUCAGCAGGGAAGAAAAUGACGGUACCUGAAGAAGAAGCCCCGGCUAACUACGUGCCAGCAGCCGCGGUAAUACGUAGGGGGCAAGCGUUAUCCGGAUUUACUGGGUGUAAAGGGGGCGCAGACGGCAAUGCAAGCCAGGAGUGAAAGCCCGGGGCCCAACCCCGGGACUGCUCUUGGAACUGCAUGGCUGGAGUACAGGAGGGGCAGGCGGAAUUCCUAGUGUAGCGGUGAAAUGCGUAGAUAUUAGGAGGAACACCAGUGGCGAAGGCGGCUUACUGGACUGUAACUGACGUUGAGGCUCGAAAGCGUGGGGAGCAAACAGGAUUAGAUACCCUCGUA